AGCCUUACAAGGAGGGAAGAAAAGGCUGAAGGCCAUAGCCAACAUGGAAAGCAAUGACCUACAUCUCUUAUCUUGGGGCCAUGUAAGUCUCCAGUCACUAAUUUGGACUCGGGAAUGCUAAAGUCAUCAGCACUGGAUGCAUUGGGAAGACUUAGAGCCCCUUUACAUACCAGACCCUAUCAACACAAAAUUGUUGGUAUUUGAGCUUUCCUAGUUGUUUGGAUUCCAAAUAAAUGAGUUUCUUCUAA